GAAUGGUAAGAAAAAUUAAUGGAGUGGAGUUGAUAUAGUUCAGACAGAAGGCUACUCGGAUGAGGAUUGCAGGAUCAGAUUCGUUUCCCAGAUCGGCGGACCAAGUCGAUCGGAUCGGAUUGGAUUGCCGGAAUUCGCCGACUCGGAAGAACAGUCCUGAUCGGGCAAUAUACACCAAGGUGAGAAACUUCAUUCGAUAUAGUCUUUAGUGCCUUUAAUGGGGUCAUUAAAUACUUCAUUUUUUUCUCAAGAAACAACGCUCUUGGCUGGAGAAAAAAGGGGCAGAUGGAGAAGCGUUUUGCACACGGGGGAAAGCAGUUCCUAGAAAUUUCAGAAAAAUAUCGUGGGAUUUACAUGAUUUGCCACUCCAAAAAAAAAAAAAUUUUUGUUCUUCUGAAUGACUAGAUCUUGCAUGGACCAUCAUCU
rnacentral:lncRNA from 1 species